rnacentral:rRNA from 1 species
AGGCAGCAGUGGGGAAUAUUGCACAAUGGGCGCAAGCCUGAUGCAGCCAUGCCGCGUGUAUGAAGAAGGCCUUCGGGUUGUAAAAGUACUUUCAGCAGUGAGGAAGGUGGGUAUGUUAAUAGCAUAUUCAUUUGACGUUAGCUGCAGAAGAAGCACCGGCUAACUCCGUGCCAGCAGCCGCGGUAAUACGGAGGGUGCGAGCGUUAAUCGGAAUUACUGGGCGUAAAGCGCAUGCAGGUGGUUUGUUAAGUCAGAUGUGAAAGCCCGGGGCUCAACCUCGGAAUUGCAUUUGAAACUGGCAAACUAGAGUACUGUAGAGGGGGUAGAAUUUCAGGUGUAGCGGUGAAAUGCGUAGAGAUCUGAAGGAAUACCGGUGGCGAAGGCGGCCCCCUGGACAGAUACUGACACUCAGAUGCGAAAGCGUGGGGAGCAAACAGGAUUAGAUACCCUGGUCG